GGGACGUUCCAUUAUAAGGGGAGUGGCCAGCUCCAAGGCAAGUCUGCAAACCGUCAAGUUUUACAUUUCUACAAUAAUGAUAACGUUAAAUAUAAGCAUUAUUUCAUCAACAGUAUACAAUAUCAAUGUAUAACUGUACUUCGCUAUUUUAAACUCGUCAAAGGGAAAAAGAGUUCCACCGGGGUGAAGAGACGGUGGGCAUUUCCCAACGCCCUUCCGGAACCGUAUUUUAACCCUGGGAUUCAGGUCGGACCUCCUUUAUCAGCACACCGUGGCACCCAUCACUGCUGAGGAAUAGACGUAAACAAGACAUUACUUUGAACUGUGACUAUUUACUUGAGAAUGAUAAUGGUUAAAUUAUAACAAUGACUGUUACCACGUAAACUAUGAGGCGUGCACGCAACAUAUAAAACAAUGAUAGCAAAUGUCAAACUGUAUUUCUGCAAUACAGUUACGUAUGGGAUAUAAGAAACAAAAGCUGUGUGUCGCGUCGUCAUUUAUAUUAUGUUUAUAGUGCAAAUUGAGUAAUAACGUGCAUAAAAUUAAAAGGAUAUUUGUUAUGGCCUGUGUACACUUGCACGCGGUAAACUACCGCGUGGCUAGCUUGUGGGCAUGCUGGCUGCAGCAGUUCUGUUGUGCAACAAAGAUCUGGUUAUUAAAUGGGUAAAUAGUUCAAUCUAUUCUCCAUUAACAGUUAAGUAGUGUGCUCUAACCCGCUCUGGUGACAAACGUCGCUGCCCUGUUUCCAAUCGUCCACAUUGCUGCUGGGAGAAUCUAUUCAAAUACAGAGCUGUGAAACCCUGUCUGCAGAUGAAGAGCAAUGGUUCCCAGUCCUGUUCCUGGGGUCUCAAAGGGAUGCCUUGCAACUGGAGAUUUCUUAAACGAUUGCCUACAGUUACUGUGUAGGGCACGGCACAGUUGGGUGACCAGGGCCAUCUGGGACUGUCUCGUGGGGGAUUUCCGGCAUCUGUGAAGGCUACCUGUGUCCUGCAUAACUUCAUGAUGAUGAACAGGAGGGGACCUGCAGCGCUCCGCCAUGUGCCAGAGGAGAGGUCUGCUGCUCUGCAGGAUGUUGCCAGGAUGGGGGCCAACAACGCAGCACAGGAGGCAAUCUGUGUGCAGGAGACCUUCACCUCCUACUUCUUCACAAAGGAUGCUGUUCCCUGGCAACACCAUAGACUACACUAUGCACAAUCAAAGGCUCUUUUAAGAGCCAUCCACAUUGCAAUAAGAGUAUUCUUCAAUUUACUUAGCUAUGUCAACUGCAGUUAUUCAAUUUCCAGUUUCUCUUCCUUUAAUUUCUACUUCGCAGGUGAGGGUGCUGUUUAGGUAGGAGUGGUGUCUGUACAAAAACAAAACAGGCUCUCACCCAUUUUGAAAACAUUUAGAACAAUUAGACACCCUAUAAGCCACACCUACACACGUGUCUAUUGCUAUAAAGAAUAGUUAACACACCUCACACAGGCCUUUUUUCAGGUGAAUACGUUUUAGAAAAAAAUAUUGGUGUGUGUUUCUGGAAAAAAAGGCCACUAUUGUCUCAAAAGUCCGUUAUUAUUAACUUUUAAAACAAUUGUUAAUCAAUAAAAGGGGCAAUCCGCAGUUAAUAUAACUUGUGCUUAGUUCAACUGUUGUACCCCAUCAGAACCCAAAAUAUAAGCUUGUUUUGCUCCAAUGUUGUAAAUGUAAACAUACACUGUAUAGCCCAAAACAUGGAUGAAGCUAUGACGUUGGAUGGUCAGUCAUUGCAUGCACAGCUCUGUCUUAGAGCGGUUACACUUCUCCAGACAAAUCCCACAGCUUUUUACAAAAACAGAGGCAGGGUUCAGCUUUUUUAUUGUUUCAACUGUGGACUGUCCCUUUAAAAAACCCAACAACCAAUCAAUACCAACGUCAAUACAAAUAGAAUCCUACUUUGUCUAACAUGAAGAUUCACAGAAUGAAAGAAAACAUAUAUUACAAUCAGUGUAAAAAGUCUGCUAGAAGUGGCCUUCGCUUGUUACACACGGACACUAGUCAAUGUUAAGCUGGUCUUCCAGUAGUCAUUUCAGCCAUAGUCAGACUAUUGUUCACAAGCGUGUG